GAUGAAGAACGUAGUGAAAUGCGAUAAGUAAUGUGAAUUGCAGAAUUCAGUGAAUCAUCGAAUCUUUGAACGCACAUUGCGCCCCCCAGUAUUCUGGCGGGCAUGCCUGUUCGAGCGUCAUUUCAACCCUCAAGCACAGCUUGGUGUUGGGACUCGCGUUAAUUCGCGUUCCCCAAAUUGAUUGGCGGUCACGUCGAGCUUCCAUAGCGUAGUAGUAAAACCCUCGUUACUGGUAAUCGUCGCGGCCACGCCGUUAAACCCCAACUUCUGAAUGUUGACCUCGGAUCAGGUAGGAAUACCCGCUGAACUUAAGCAUAUCAAUAAGCGGAGGA
rnacentral:misc_RNA from 1 species